UAACUUAAGGAUCUUGUUAAAAUGUGGAUUCUGAUUCUGUAAGACUGGGGCCUAAGGUUCUGCAUUUCUAAUAAGUUCCCAUGUAAUGCCAGU
rnacentral:pre_miRNA from 1 species